rnacentral:lncRNA from 1 species
CUUGGUACGCAAAGCAAGGGGCUUUUAUCGUUGUCAGCUGUUAUGGGGGUUUAAUGUUUGCAAUGAAUAACCUUUGUCUUAGAAAAUUGUAGACGCUGGAUUUGAUUGUUGUGAUGUUGCUGAUCGGGUGUCAUUCAGGUGAUAACCUAGCAUCCCCAGGAUGGAGAAUAAUGACAAAGUCCCUUCCAAGGCUGGCUCUUCUGAGAGACUUAGCACUCUCACUGUGAUCUGGUCUGCUGCUCAUCCAGACUCUUGACCACAUCCAGCCAUGGACAGUAGACCCUCCCUGGGCAUCCAGCCAUGGACAGUAGACCCUCCCUGGGCAUCCAGCCAUGGACAGUAGACCCUCCCUGGGCAUCCAGCCAUGGACAGUAGACCCUCCCUGGGAUGCAGAGCACAGGAGUCAGGGGCUCACUUGUCCUUCACCCCUCCUAAGCGCAAAGCACAGAAGCUGGGGGCAGAUGUUGGCUCAUGGCCCACAUAAAAAAGUGUGCUGCUGGGGUUGGGGAUUUAGCUCAGUGGUAGAGCGCUUGCCUAGGAAGCGCAAGGCCCUGGGUUCAGUCCCCAGCUCCGAAAAAAAGAACCAAAA